CCUACGGGAGACAGCAGUGGGGAAUAUUGGGCAAUGGGCGCAAGCCUGACCCAGCAACGCCGCGUGAAGGAAGAAGGCUUUCGGGUUGUAAACUUCUUUUGUCAGGGACGAAGCAAGUGACGGUACCUGACGAAUAAGCCACGGCUAACUACGUGCCAGCAGCCGCGGUAAUACGUAGGUGGCAAGCGUUAUCCGGAUUUACUGGGUGUAAAGGGCGUGUAGGCGGGACUGCAAGUCAGAUGUGAAAAUUAUGGGCUCAACCCAGAACCUGCAUUUGAAACUGUAGUUCUUGAGUGAGGGAGAGGCAGGCGGAAUUCCGUGUGUAGCGGUGAAAUGCGUAGAUAUACGGAGGAACACCAGUGGCGAAGGCGGCCUGCUGGAUAUUAACUGACGCUGAGGCGCGAAAGCGUGGGGAGCAAACAGGAUUAGAUACCCUUGUAGUC
rnacentral:rRNA from 1 species